rnacentral:rRNA from 1 species
AACGAACGCUGGCGGCAGGCUUAACACAUGCAAGUCGAGCGCCCCGCAAGGGGAGCGGCAGACGGGUGAGUAACGCGUGGGAAUCUACCCAUCUCUACGGAAUAACGCAUGGAAACGUGUGCUAAUACCGUAUACGUACUUCGGGAGAAAGAUUUAUCGGAGAUGGAUGAGCCCGCGUUGGAUUAGCUAGUUGGUGGGGUAAAGGCCUACCAAGGCGACGAUCCAUAGCUGGUCUGAGAGGAUGAUCAGCCACACUGGGACUGAGACACGGCCCAGACUCCUACGGGAGGCAGCAGUGGGAAUAUUGGACAAUGGGCGCAAGCCUGAUCCAGCCAUGCCGCAUGAGUGAUGAAGGCCCUAGGGUUGUAAAGCUCUUUCACCGGUGAAGAUAAUGACGGUAACCGGAGAAGAAGCCCCGGCUAACUUCGUGCCAGCCGCCGCAGUAAUAC